rnacentral:tRNA from 1 species
GGGUGAGACGGGGUGAAACACCCCCAAAGCUGAUUUUUAAUCAGGUUGUCACAGGUUCGAUCCCUGUCGGGCUCACCA